UUGGAGGGCAAGUCUGGUGCCAGCAGCCGCGGUAAUUCCAGCUCCAAUAGCGUAUAUUAAAGUUGUUGCAGUUAAAAAGCUCGUAGUUGAAUUUCGGGGUCAGUAGGUUGGUCGUGCCACCGGUACGUACUGGUCUCACUGAUUCCUCCUUCCUGAUGAGCUGUAAUGCCAUUAAUUUGGUGUUGCGGGGAAUCUGGACUGUUACUUUGAAAAAAUUAGUGUGUUUAAAGCAGGCUAACGCUUGAAUACAUUAGCAUGGAAUAAUGAAA
rnacentral:rRNA from 1 species